rnacentral:rRNA from 1 species
GACGAACGCUGGCGGCGUGCUUAACACAUGCAAGUCGAACGAGAUCCAAUGUGUAGCAAUACACAGGAAGAUCUAGUGGCGAACGGGUGAGGAACACGUGAGAAACGUACCCCAGACUUUGGGAUAACAGUCCGAAAGGACUGCUAAUACCAAAUAACGUCGGAAGUCCGCAUGGACAUCUGACGAAAGGGAUUCCGGUUUGGGAGCGUCUCGCGGACCUAUCAGCUAGUUGGAGGGGUAACGGCCCACCAAGGCAACGACGGGUAGCUGGUCUGAGAGGAUGGUCAGCCACACUGGGACUGAGACACGGCCCAGACUCCUACGGGAGGCAGCAGUGGGGAAUCUUGCGCAAUGGGCGAAAGCCUGACGCAGCAACGCCGCGUGCGGGAAGAAGGCUUUCGGGCUGUAAACCGCUUUCAGUAGGAACGAAACUGACGGUACCUACAGAAGAAGGAGCGGCCAACUAUGU